rnacentral:rRNA from 1 species
CUGAUGCAGCAACGCCGCGUGGGGGAUGACGGCCUUCGGGUUGUAAACCUCUUUUAGUAGGGAAGAAGGACUUCGGUUUGACGGUACCUGCAGAAAAAGCACCGGCUAACUACGUGCCAGCAGCCGCGGUAAUACGUAGGGUGCAAGCGUUGUCCGGAAUUAUUGGGCGUAAAGAGCUCGUAGGCGGUUUGUCGCGUCUGCUGUGAAAACCCGAGGCUCAACCUCGGGCCUGCAGUGGGUACGGGCAGACUAGAGUGCGGUAGGGGAGAAUGGAAUUCCUGGUGUAGCGGUGGAAUGCGCAGAUAUCAGGAGGAACACCGAUGGCGAAGGCAGUUCUCUGGGCCGUUACUGACGCUGAGGAGCGAAAGCGUGGGGAGCGAACAGGAUUAGAUACCCUGGUAGUCCACGCCGUAAACGUUGGGAACUAGAUGUGGGGACCUUUCCACGGUCUCCGUGUCGCAGCUAACGCAUUAAGUUCCCCGCCUGGGGAGUACGGCCGCAAGGCUAAAACUCAAAGGAAUUGACGGGGGCCCGCACAAGCGGCGGAGCAUGCGGAUUAAUUCGAUGCAACGCGAAGAACCUUACCAAGGCUUGACAUAUACCGGAAACUUCCAGAAAUGGUUGCCCCGCAAGGUC